GAUGAACGCUGGCGGCGUGCUUAACACAUGCAAGUCGAGCGAAGCACUUUACUUGGAUUUCUUCGGAAUGACGAGUAUUGUGACUGAGCGGCGGACGGGUGAGUAACGCGUGGGUAACCUGCCUCAUACAGGGGGAUAACAGUUAGAAAUGACUGCUAAUACCGCAUAAGACCACAGCACCGCAUGGUGCAGGGGCAAAAACUCCGGUGGUAUGAGAUGGACCCGCGUCUGAUUAGCUAGUUGGUGGGGUAACGGCCUACCAAGGCAACGAUCAGGAGCCGGCCUGAGAGGGCGACCGGCCACAUUGGGACUGAGAUACGGCCCAAACUCCUACGGGAGGCAGCAGUGGGGAAUAUUGCACAAUGGGGGAAACCCUGAUGCAGCGACGCCGCGUGAAGGAAGAAGUAUUUCGGUAUGUAAACUUCUAUCAGCAGGGAAGAAAAUGACGGUACCUGACUAAGAAGCCCCGGCUAACUACGUGCCAGCCGCCGCGGUAA
rnacentral:rRNA from 1 species